rnacentral:rRNA from 1 species
UGCUAGUUGUGCGGGUUUAGACCCGCAGCGGAAAGCUCAGUAACACGUGGCCAAGCUACCCUGUGGACGGGAAUACUCUCGGGAAACUGAGGCUAAUCCCCGAUAACGCUUUGCUCCUGGAAGGGGCAAAGCCGGAAACGCUCCGGCGCCACAGGAUGCGGCUGCGGUCGAUUAGGUAGACGGUGGGGUAACGGCCCACCGUGCCCAUAAUCGGUACGGGUUGUGAGAGCAAGAGCCCGGAGACGGAAUCUGAGACAAGAUUCCGGGCCCUACGGGGCGCAGCAGGCGCGAAACCUUUACACUGUACGAAAGUGCGAUAAGGGGACUCCGAGUGUGAAGGCAUAGAGCCUUCACUUUUGUACACCGUAAGGUGGUGCACGAAUAAGGACUGGGCAAGACCGGUGCCAGCCGCCGCGGUAAUACCGGCAGUCCGAGUGAUGGCCGAUCUUAUUGGGCCUAAAGCGUCCGUAGCUGGCUGAACAAGUCCGUUGGGAAAUCUGUCCGCUUAACGGGCAGGCGUCCAGCGGAAACUGUUCAGCUUGGGACCGGAAGACCUGAGGGGUACGUCUGGGGUAGGAGUGAAAUCCUGUAAUCCUGGACGGACCGCC